GGAUUCCCCUAGUAACGGCGAGUGAACCGGGAUGAGCCCAACUUGAAAAUCUCCGCGCUGCGCGCGGCGAAUUGUAGUCUAGAGAAGCGACCCCUGUGGCGGCGCCCGCCAAAGUUUCCUGGAAGGGAGCGUCCGAGAGGGUGAGAACCCCGUAGGCGGGCCGCGCGUCACUCCACGAGGCGCUUUCGCAGAGUCGGGUUGUUUGGGAAUGCAGCCCAAAGCAGGUGGUAAAUCCCAUCUAAGGCUAAAUACUGGCGGGAGACCGAUAGCGAACAAGUACCGUGAGGGAAAGAUGAAAAGAACUUUGAAAAGAGAGUCAAAAAGUGCUUGAAAUUGUUGAGGGGGAACGGAAUGGAGGCUGCGGGUGCGCCCAGGCUUAUGCCGGCUCAACGGCCGGCUGUAUGCGCUGGGCGCUGGUCAGCGUGGGUUGGCCCGGCGGGACAAACGCGGGGGUUGAUACCCCGCCUAUGCCGCCGGGGCGACUGAGGCUCCUCACGGCGCUCUUCGAGUCCUUCGGGAACGGCGCCGUCACGACGCUGGCGGAAGGCUUCCACUCUACCCGUCUUGAAACACGGACCAAGGAGUAUAACAUGCAUGCGAGCUGGUGGGUGGCAAACCCACGAAGCGCAAGUAACCUGACUGGUGGGAUGGCCUGUGCCUGCACCAUCGACCGACCAUGAUCUUCUGUGAAAGGUUUGAGUGCGAGCAUGUUUGUUGUGACCCGAAAGAUGGUGAACUAUGCCUGAGCAGGGCGAAGCCAGAGGAAACUCUGGUGGAGGCUCGUAGAUGUGCUGAC
rnacentral:rRNA from 1 species